GAUGAAGAACGUAGCAAAAUGCGAUACUUGGUGUGAAUUGCAGAAUCCCGUGAACCAUCGAGUUUUUGAACGCAAGUUGCGCCCGAAGCCUUUUGGCCGAGGGCACGUCUGCCUGGGCGUCACGCAUCGCGUCGCCCCCCACAAUUCUCCGUAAAAGGAACAUGUGUUUUGGGGGCGGAUAUUGGUCUCCCGUGCUCAUGGCGUGGUUGGUCGAAAUAGGAGUCCUUUCGAUGGACGCACGAACUAGUGGUGGUCGUAAAAACCCUCGUCUUUUGUUUCGUGCUGUUGCUCGCAAGGUAAACUCUUUAAAAACCCCAAUGUGUCGUCUCUUGACGACGCUUCGACCGCGACCCCAGGUCAGGCGGGACUACCCGCUGAGUUUAAGCAUAUCAAUAAGCGGAGGA
rnacentral:misc_RNA from 1 species